CAUUACUGAUUUGCUUAAUUGCACCACAUGUGUUUUGUUCUGGACAAACUUGCUUUGGCGGUGGGCCCCUGCCUGCCGCCAGAGGACAUAAACUUACAACCAAUUUUUUUAUAAACUUGUCACGAGAUUAUUUUUAAUAGUCAAAACUUUCAACAACGGAUCUCUUGGUUCUCGCAUCGAUGAAGAACGCAGCGAAAUGCGAUACGUAAUAUGAAUUGCAGAUAUUCGUGAAUCAUCGAAUCUUUGAACGCACAUUGCGCCCUCUGGUAUUCCGGAGGGCAUGCCUGUUUGAGCGUCGUUUCUCCCUCAAACCCCUAGGGUUUGGUGUUGAGCAAUACGACUUGGGUUUGCUUGAAAGAUGAUAGUGGUAUAAGGCGGAGAUGCUUGACAAUGGCAUAGGUGUAACCAAAAACAUUGCUAAGGCGGUCUCUGGCGUCGCCCAUUUUAUUCUUCAAACUUUGACCUCAAAUCAGGUAGGACUACCCGCUGAACUUAAGCAUAUCAAUAA
rnacentral:rRNA from 1 species